AAAAUUCCUAUAAGAAUUUGGGACAAAAUUCCUAUAGGAAUUUUUCCUAUAGGAAUUGCUAUAGGAAUUGCUAUAGGAAAAAUUCCUAUAGGAAAAAUUCCUAUAGGAAUUUUGUCCCAAAUUCUUAUAGGAAUUUUUCCU
rnacentral:miRNA from 1 species